rnacentral:rRNA from 1 species
GAUGAACGCUGGCGGCGUGCCUAAUACAUGCAAGUCGAGCGAACGGACGAGAAGCUUGCUUCUCUGGUGUUAGCGGCGGACGGGUGAGUAACACGUGGAUAACCUACCUAUAAGACUGGGAUAACUUCGGGAAACCGGAGCUAAUACCGGAUAAUAUUUUGAACCGCAUGGCUCAAAAGUGAAAGACGGUCUUGCUGUCACUUAUAGAUGGAUCCGCGCUGCAUUAGCUAGUUGGUAAGGUAACGGCUUACCAAGGCAACGAUGCAUAGCCGACCUGAGAGGGUGAUCGGCCACACUGGAACUGAGACACGGUCCAGACUCCUACGGGAGGCAGCAGUAGGGAAUCUUCCGCAAUGGGCGAAAGCCUGACGGAGCAACGCCGCGUGAGUGAUGAAGGUCUUCGGAUCGUAAAACUCUGUUAUUAGGGAAGAACAUAUGUGUAAGUAACUGUGCACAUCUUGACGGUACCUAAUCAGAAAGCCACGGCUAACUACGUG